rnacentral:rRNA from 1 species
GUCCACGCCCUAAACGAUGAUAACUCGAUGUGUGCAAUACACCGUACGCGUCUAAGCGAAAGCAUUAAGUUAUCCACCUGGGAAGUACGACCGCAAGGUUGAAACUCAAAGGAAUUGACGGGGCCCGCACAAGCAGAGGAGCAUGUGGUUUAAUUCGAUGAUACGCGAGGAACCUUACCAGGGCUUGAAAGUUAGGGAAUAACGCAGAAAAGCGUUAGUGAGCAAUCACCCGAAACUAGGUGCUGCAUGGCUGUCGU